UUCCUCUCUUAGGUUCAUUACUUUGAAUUUUUGACUCAAAUCAUAUAUAUCGAUUGGACCAUGUUCAAUUCUAUGAUCUUUAGAAGAUGCAGCCUACAACUGAAGAGAAACAGAUACAACACCAAUAUCUUAUCCUCUCUGAAGCCAAACUGAGAGCCCCUGGAGUCAGAAAUUUCCAAGAAAAGAAAAAGUCAUCCAUCUUCAGAAGAGAGACAGUAGAGAAAAAUGAAUGAUGUGACCAUUUGGUGCAGGACAACAGUAUUAUGUUCACCAGUCUCUGUACUGUAUGUUACUGCACAGCACGGACUGUAGAAGAAAGCCCAGAGGAGCAAUGAAGACAAAGAAGACACGACACCUGCAAAAAGUCAGUGGAGUAUUUCUACGUAACAAACCUUCCAGGCUGCCAUGAUCCUCCCUUUGGACUCCAUGGUCAGGGUCGUUGCAGAGAUCCUCCCUUUGGACCCCGCCUUCCUGAAGGGCAUCUUAGAAGGACUGCCAUGAGCCAUGUCAUAAAAAGGAGAAAACAUCACAGUGGACAGCCCCAAUUCCUGCAUAUACAGAUGGGAAACUUAGGUGCACUGCUUCUCUGAUUGACUCCAAAUACCACAGCACCACACCCUUCUAGACGGGUGGAUGUGCAGCUCCACUUCUUUGCAGGGAGGACACACAAUAGCAGAAUAUCCGUGGCCCAACUUUCUGGAGCAUCAGUAUUACUACAAGAUUUGGAAUAAGCAAAGUUAGGUCAUUUCCAAGGUUCUCCGCCACCAACUUCCAUAACCAUCAGGAUAUUCUACAACUUCUGCAAGAGUAACAAUUUUACCUUACACUGUAUUUGUCUCAUGUGGUUUAAAACAUCCAGAAAUCAUUGAUAAACUGACCCUGCCCAAACUAAAGCAUGGUGAGAUAUAAAAGAUGGUCGCUGUUAAGUGGGGAGGGAUUGCAGGUUGAACUUAAUUUUAUAAGUGGUCAAUUUAUUACAGUAUAUUGUUCUAUUAUCUAUUUCACUUCUUUUUUUAAAAAAGUGAUAUUUGAGGGCACUUAGAUAAUAAAAAGUUGAGAAGAUAAGGAACUGAUAUACUCUGUAAGCUUGAAAUGUUUUCAAGCAUAAGAUACAAUAAGAACUAAAACUAAGAAAUGACAGAGGAAAUAGAGAUAAGAGGAUGAAAUUGAAAAACUGAAUCUAUAAUAAUAUCUCAAUGGCUAGUGCUGUGGUGCCAAGAAGGUGGUGAAGUCAAAGAAUUCGUAAAGAUGAUAAUAGACUGCAAAGAAAAAACACUGAAAUUUUUGUAGAGAGAAUUUUUACAGACAUAUUACAGAUAGAGAACAGGGAAGAGAAGUUGGAGUGAGAGACUAUCUUCUUCUUAAAUUACUUCCACUGUAGAGAACAAAAAACCAAUUUGCUGAAAUCUUUAUUCCCCUCUAUGACCCUGUGGAAGAUCAAGAUUUGGCCACCCUGAAAUCUAUCUCUUUACCUUGGUUGUUUUCUCUGAGGGCAUUUGACCUCCCCCACUAACUGCCUAAAGAAUUUAAAACAAAACAUCUGUUUCAGGAAGGAGUUAUUAUCAUGAUGGCUGUAAAUAUAAUGUACAAUAGAUCUUACAAUAGAAAAGGCACCAACAAGCCCAUCUUAUCAGAAGUUCUGUCUCUGGCCAUAUUCUUUGGAUGGCCCUGCAAGGAGUUGCCAGACAGACAUUUACAUUUAUAAGGGAAAUCUCCAUUUGUAAAGGUAUCUGCCUCUCUGUAUUGGGAAGAGGGGGAAUGACCUCAUUUCUAGAAACUUAUCAAUGUAAAAGGUGAGGCCUUAAAUCUGCAUAAUAACCUCACUCUUGUUUACUGUGCUUUAGUGGUAAUCUCCUGUAACGGACUCCCCCCACCCCCAACAUCCUCCUCUGUCAUUGGCUGAACAUGAU